UCAGGAUGAACGCUAGCGGCAGGCUUAACACAUGCAAGUCGAGGGGUAACAUUGUAGCUUGCUACAGAUGACGACCGGCGCACGGGUGCGUAACGCGUAUAGAACCUACCUUUUACAGGGGAAUAGCCCAGAGAAAUUUGGAUUAAUGCCCCAUAGUAUUGUUGAAUGGCAUCGUUUAACAAUUAAACAUUUAUGGGUAAAAGAUGGCUAUGCGUUCUAUUAGCUAGAUGGUAAGGUAACGGCUUACCAUGGCAACGAUAGAUAGGGGUCCUGAGAGGGAGAUCCCCCACACUGGUACUGAGACACGGACCAGACUCCUACGGGAGGCAGCAGUGAGGAAUAUUGGACAAUGGAGGCAACUCUGAUCCAGCCAUGCCGCGUGCAGGAAGACGGCCCUAUGGGUUGUAAACUGCUUUUAUAUAGGAAGAAACCUUUCCACGUGUGGAAAGCUGACGGUACUAUAAGAAUAAGCACCGGCUAACUCCGUGCCAGCAGCCGCGGUAAUACGGAGGGUGCAAGCGUUAUCCGGAAUCAUUGGGUUUAAAGGGUCCGUAGGCGGACUGAUAAGUCAGGGGUGAAAUCCAACAGCUUAACUGUUGAACUGCCCUUGAUACUGUUAGUCUUGAAUUAUAUGGAAGUAGAUAGAAUGUGUAGUGUAGCGGUGAAAUGCUUAGAGAUUACACAGAAUACCGAUUGCGAAGGCAGUCUACUACGUAUAUAUUGACGCUAAUGGACGAAAGCGUGGGGAGCGAACAGGAUUAGAUACCCUGGUAGUCCACGCCGUAAACGAUGGACACUAGUUGUUGGAUUUAUUCAGUGACUAAGCGAAAGUGAUA
rnacentral:rRNA from 1 species